CAUUUGAUUGCACAUUUCUUCUUCGAGAUGGUCAAUGGUGGUUUGUUCACCGACAUACACGUUGCUUUUGUAUCCUCAUUUCACACUCCCCCUCCUAUACACUUUUCUUUAUCUUGCACCACUUUUUCAAUUAUACCCAAUUCAUCAUCACUACAACUUUCGCGUUUGCCGCUGACGUUCAAAAUUUUCCCUACUGCCACCAAAGAUUUCGAUAAUGGCAUUUCUAUCUCCGACACCCGAAGAAGCUAAUUACAAAAUCUAAUUCUUUCACCUUGCUGCUAUAAUUGGACAAAUAGGUUCCCUGUCGACCAUCGUUUCACCAUGGAAGCUCCAAAUUUGAAGAUUUAUGGUCGGAUUCAAUUAAUUGAAUCCGAUAAAACUCAAUCCUAACUCUAACAGGGUGAAAUUUGGUGUAAGUAAUGAAAAGAGAAAGAGUGAUUAGAGAUUUGAUGGUCUUGGACAUGUAAUGGAGAUCGUUGGAUGUUGGAGUUGUUCUUUUCACCUUAUUUGGCUUACCUCGUGCUUUCAAAUUUCUGUUCUUCAAUUCGUAUUUUAAAUAAUCUGUUUUCUGUUGGAAUUUUUUUUUUCAAAAAAUAUAAUAUAGGUUUUUUGUUUAAAUAAUUCAUGUUGGGUUUUGACCUAGAAGUUUGGGGUUUGAUUGACGUUUUCUUUGAUUAAUUUCGUUUGAUUUUCAAGUGGAUAGUUCAUGCUUGGAUUUGUGUUAAAGGCUUAAAGCUAAUACAACUUUUGUAAAAGACGGUCUUACAGGAAAGACCGCCUUGUUGUCACCUAAACUGCCACACGAAUUGCUAACGUGUACAUGACAUCAGCAAAUUUCUGGAAAAUAUGUAUACAAUAUUAACAAUUUUAUUUUCAUUUUCUACACCUAAUUCAUUUCUCUCUCCUAAAUAAUUUCCUCUGCAUCUCUCUCCUCAAAAUCUCUUCCCCUCUCUCUCCUCGAAACUGCCGCCUAUCUCUCCCGUCGAAAUCCCCGCCGUAGAUGACGAAGAAGACGACGGAAAAGACAGCGGUGGGGGCUUAUUGAGAAGAGGUGGAGGUUGUGGUGAUGGAGGAGAAGUCGGCCUCCAGACGGAAGACCGCGGCUAUAGCCGCAUAUUGGUGAGCGAACGACCAUCGACAGGGGGAUCGUGGAGCGCGGAUGAGCCUCGUUUCUGCGUAUUCAAGUUUGCAUCUCCAUCACCACCGCCGCGGAACAUAUGGAGAUCAAAGGAACACUCCCAGUCUUGCGGUGGCUACGCUAAUCCCUACUGGUGGCUGCGAAGGAGGUUGUUCAGAUCUAAGGCGAGGCUUCGUCGUCGGAGAUGAGCGGAGGUCAAGGCGGAGUAGUCGAUGGCGAUGGUAGUGGAGGAGUUGGUGUUUUUUGACUCGAUCUUGGUGGCUGUGAUUUUGGCGAUGCGCCUGCGGCGAUGCAAAGGAACAUAGCUGUUGGUUAUGCGGCACAAGCGGUUGAUAUAUGGCUUCGCUAGUGGUUUUCGUUUUAGUUUUAGUUUUAGUUAAGAAUUGUAAUGUUUUAGUUACACUUUUUUUGUAUUUAGUUAAGAAUAAUUAUGUUUUAGUUUUAGUUAUACUUCUGAAAUAAUGGCCUUCUUAUUGGAAUUGCUGGAAUGAUUUUCUAUGUUUUAGUUAUGAAUUUUUAAGUUUUAGUCACGAUUUUUUUGGUUUUAGUUAAGGGUUUUUGAGUUUUAGUUACGUAUUUUUUAGUUUUCA